GAUGAACGCUGGCGGCGUGCCUAAUACAUGCAAGUCGAACGAGGUGCCUUUGUAGCAAUACGAGGGUAUCCUAGUGGCGAACGGGUGAGUAACGCGUUGGUGACCUGUCCCAAAGUGUGGGAUAACAGUCCGAAAGGACUGCUAAUACCGCAUGUGGUCAUCGGGUCUAGAAACCGAUGUCUAAAGCAGCAAUGCGCUUUGGGAGGGCCUGCGUCCAUCAGCUAGUUGGUAGGUAACGGCCUACCAAGGCGACGACGGGUAGGGACC
rnacentral:rRNA from 1 species